CCCGGCUCUUACGAUUCUUCGUUGACAGAAGUGUAUCGUUGCUAUUUCAGUUGUUAUUUUAACAGAUUUCAGAGACCUGUUUGAGUUCAAGUGGCUUCUUGUUUCUGCAGACAGGUUUCUGUUGUUGUGAUCGAUUAUCUGGAUUCUACAGUUUUUCCUGUGUUUCACCUUGAUCUGGUGCAAAGAUCAACUCUAGAGCCUCUUCAAGUUGACAGCGCAUGCAGCCUACAUCAAGAAACAAUCAGCCAGACUUCAUUGGGCUCGGGUUUCGAUGUUUCCAGCUUCCAGCCUCUUCCUGUUGACAGUGAAUGCAGUCUGGAUCUUACAACAUUUAGCCAGACUUCAUUGGGCCCGGAUUUUGAUGACUCUACAUUCCAGCCGCUUCCAAUUGACAGUGAAUGCAGCAUAGGUGAAGCAGCAAUCAGCCAGGCAUCAUUGGGCCCAGAUAUCGCUGUUUCGAGCUUCCAGCCUCUUCCGGUCGACAGUGAAUGCAGCCUGGAUCUACCAACAAUCAGCGAGACGUCAUUGGGCCCAGAUUUUGAUGAUUCCACAUUCAGGUAGCUUCAGGUUGACAGUGCUUGCAGCCUAGAUCAAGCAUCAAUCAGCCAGACGUCAUUGGGCCCUGAGUUUCAUGAUUCCACCUUCAGGCUGCCUUCAAUUACCAGUGCAUGCAGUCUAGAUGAAGAAACAAUCAGCCAGACGUCAUUGGGCCCAGAUUUGGAUGAUUCCAUCUUCAGCAGUGAAAACAACCUGUCACAAGACUACAGCCAGACUUUGAUGAAAUCCUUUGUCAGCCCUGUUCCUGGGCGCAGUGGUUCCAGCCUGUCUCAGACCAUCAGCCAAGUAUCAAGUAUUGAGGAUUUCAGUGAAUCCAUCCUCAUAGCCUAUUCCUUUCAGCUGUGAAUCCAGUCACAAGAUAUCAGCCAGAAUGAAUGAAAGUUUUGGCAAGAGCUCAAUUUAAACCUUAUCCCAGAUUGCCCAGUUUCUUUUUGAAAUAUACUAAACAUGUAAAAGCAGAAAGAAACGAUUUACCAUUACCAUACCCCCCUUCUGCACUUGUAAUGUAUUUUCUCAUUUCGGGUUUCUUUUGUAUUUCUACAGAUUUCUUCUUUGAAUUAGUCCCAGGAUAAUAAUCUAAUGAAGGUUGCAGUAGCUCUCCUGCUGUGGACCUUGGCUUCAUUUCAUUUCAGAUCUAUUCAGGUGCCAUUACUGUGUCCAGCAACAGAGAUCCAAGAUCUAGCUCCAGCCAAAACUCCAUCCACCUUGGUGACCUCUUCCUUGACUCAGGACUCAAGAUUAAGUUUGAACUUCAUGUAUAUCUGUGUUCAAUAACAGUGACCCAGCUCCAGCAAAAGAUCCACCUGCCCUCCUACUCUUUUCCGAAACUCUUAAAUGAUUGUCCCAAUACAAGCUGCUGGAACCAUAACCUGAUUCUGUGAAAGAGAUUUGUCAGUGACAUGAUUCCCAGUCUCACUGGUAGCCAAUGCAGUUCUUUCAGGACCGGUGUUAUGUGGUAGGGAAUUAAGCAUUGUGUGAUGAGCCUGACGCCUGUAUUUAGCACACACUGUAUCUCGUGCAAAUGACUUUGCUGAAUGUCCUGCAGGAGAUAUUAUUAUCAGAUUAAAGCACAAAAUGCAGCAAACCCACUAAGAAUGUUUUGGAGAAAGUGAAAACUCCCCAACACUGCAACCUUCUGCAAUACACAUAUUGUCAGAAGGGCUUUAUUCCUAGCAACAAACCUGGGUACUCUCCCAAUUUCAGUCAACAGAUUGGGAGGUACCAAACCUAAGGCACCGAGAACAAUGAGGAGUUGUCAACUUGGUUCUUGGGAUGUAAGCGUGACAUUUCAAAAGCGAGGUCUGCAUAUUUGCCAUGUUUUUCCUCAAUCUUGUUAAUCACAUUAGUGUCAAAAGGGACAGAAAAUUCAAUAACAGAAAUGAUUUCAUUCGACUUUUCAGGUUU